rnacentral:rRNA from 1 species
GAGCGGCGAACGGGUGAGUAACACGUGAGUAACCUGCCCCUGACUCUGGGAUAAGCCCGGGAAACUGGGUCUAAUACCGGAUAUGACACCUCCUGGCAUCGGGUGGGUGUGGAAAGUUUUUUCGGUUGGGGAUGGACUCGCGGCCUAUCAGCUUGUUGGUGGGGUAAUGGCCUACCAAGGCGACGACGGGUAGCCGGCCUGAGAGGGCGACCGGCCACACUGGGACUGAGACACGGCCCAGACUCCUACGGGAGGCAGCAGUGGGGAAUAUUGCGCAAUGGGCGAAAGCCUGACGCAGCGACGCCGCGUGGGGGAUGACGGCCUUCGGGUUGUAAACCUCUUUCAGCAGGGACGAAGUUGACGUGUACCUGCAGAAGAAGCGCCGGCUAACUACGUGCCAGCAGCCGCGGUAAUACGUAGGGCGCAAGCGUUGUCCGGAAUUAUUGGGCGUAAAGAGCUCGUAGGUGGCUUGUCACGUCGGGUGUGAAAGCUUGGGGCUUAACUCCAGGUCUGCAUUCGAUAC